GCAGGCAGCUUCCUGUAGUUUUGUGCCGAGCCGGAGAAGGGGGGGGGCGUGUGGUGGCGACAAGAGUCUGGUGGCGGCGGUACGGAUCCCCAUUAAGGUGCAGUUGGGAGCAGCCGACUCUCUUUGACCGGACUGGUACCCAGCGCUCUUUUGACCCCGCAGACGUUGGAAAAAAUUCAGUGGCUCUUUUGCUUAGGAACUGAUUUGGAUGACUCGGGUUCUAGUGACAACUUGCAGAGAUGGUGGAUGGGACUUCGGUUUGUAGAUGCUCUCAUUUGCAUAUUCUUCUGGUGCAGCAACCCCAAGACAGACUUUGGAGGCUUUCAAAGUGGGGCACCUCGAUUUCUCGAAUCUGUGGUGUGGCGAGUACCCGUGUUCCGCUGGUUUAACUAGCCUGUUUGAAGGCACAGUGCAUUCUCGAGCAAGAACAACGAAACCAGCCUUCUGCACCUCCUGGGGUUUUUCUCUUGCCAUCUACAGAAGAGUGUGACUUCAGAAAGAAACUUCAGAUUGGCCAAGCCGCCCCCCAAAUCCAGCGCGACAGCCUUGGGCGUCAGCGGGCCAAGUGCGCCCUUCCGGUGCGGCCUAACUCAGGGCGUCUGGUCUGCCUACUCGAUUCGCUGCAUCCUGCCUCGUCGGCCUCCAGCAGCACAAAACCUGGUCUUCUGGGAGAUCGCUGCUGUCCUCAAGGACCUGCUGCAGCCCCGGGGCAGGGGAACCUGCGGCGGCGGGGGUGGGGUGGGGUGGGGGUACUACCGGCUUAUAGACCUCCUGGGGUACAGGCGUACUUGCCUGAACUGAGUCCUGGGUUCUCUCCCACUCUCCCCAUCCAUUCUAGUCAAAUUCUCGGUCGAUCUCAAAGCCCCUUUCUGGGGAGGGUAGGAGGAGACCAAUUCGCCACGUUCAGGUUAGGAGAGGUCACUGCUGGGAAUCGUGGGCCCUCACCUUUCCCCAGGCGUCUCCGAGAACUUUUCGCCCGAUGCGGGCAGGAAGGGGUUAACCGCGCUGCCUCUCUGGCUCACCCCAGAGCCCCUGGUGCCGAGGGAAGGCCACCGCUCCCCCUACCUCCCCCCAACCCGGUCUCAUUAGGGAAACCCUCACCGCUAUUUUCAACAUUUCCUCAAUCAAGUGCCCUGAAAUAGAGCUGCACAAACAAAUUGGCGGCAAAAGCGUAGAUCUUGUCACGAUGGAGGCGAAUCCAACAUUUCAACCUUGUUUGCUUUGCAAUUACGGGCUUGGGCUUGUGCCUCUGGUGCCACCGGGACAAAUUCGCUGCGGUCCGCUGACUUCUCUGCACCCCGAGCGGCUGGAGGAAGCGACCCGGGAGUCACUACUGGGAGAGGCGGGGGCGGCUUGGACAGGGGUGACCCAGCUAGGGCUUGGCGGAGCCCUAGCCUAGACCCCUGUGCAAAGGGCGCGCAGAGUGUGGGUAGACCGUGAGAGUGUGGGUAGACCGUGACUUUCCAGGUUCCUGGUGGAGCCACCGAAGUAUAUGCGACAAUAAUAAAACGUAAAAUCCACACAUCGAAGCCAGGGCUGUGUCUUCAGCUUCCUUUCUGUCCCCAGCUUCUCUUCCCUUCUCUCCUAACUUUUCUACAGUACGGGUUAGUGGUUCUGGAGUUCUCCCUGCUUCCUUGCUGGUAAACUGUUAGCAUGUUGUCUUCGCCAUAGCUGCUCCUGCUUGACUUUUUGUACAUAGUUACUUUAAAUCUGCUGAAAGAACCAAACCCCUGUCCUAGGACAGGCUUUCCCACACGUGUGGUUGGGGGCGGCUAGCUCACUUUUCUUUCUUUCUGGGGUAGCCUUUCCUUCGGUGCUGGGAGCCUCGUUUGUGUCAGCAGAACAGUAGUUAAGUCAGUUCCUAAGCCUUGUAUUUCACAGACAAUUAAAUCUUGGCUGCUGUUUAACGAAAUUGUAAUAUUUACUCUGUCCUAUACUGAGGAGCACUUUUGGAGGAAAAAAAAUAGCAAAUAUUACAUUUCAAACAGAAAAUACAAUAAUAAAUCUCUUUUUAUGGAUUCUCCCUGCAUAAGUGGAAACAACAUGAUUUAAGUCUCUGCACUCCCCCCCCUUUUCGAGGCCGGCUGGAACUGGAAGGCGCUGUCAGGUAGUACUUCCAUCUCUGAUGGGGAGACACCUGCAUCCGAGAUUUCACGCUCCAUUCUGGUGCUUAUCACGUGCAACAAGGAUUAUUAAAUAGUACGGUCUUGGAUACAGUUUACUUUUUCUGUGGAUGCAAGAAAGAUGGGCGUGACUGGAGGAGCUGUGGCUUCAUGUCACUUUGCAAACAGAUGGCUAUUUUUCUUCCAUUCGGCUUUCACAGUAGGGGAAGCUGAGGAAGAGAAUUCUUGUCUGACACUCUGGAGUCCAUACUGACAUGAACUAUGCUAUUUAAAAACGUGUAAGGUGCAGUCUGUUUUUGUUUGUUGGUCAUAAACUAAAUUCAUGGUCACUAUGGUCAAUAACUAAUCUUUUUCUCCCCACAGUUAAAAACACUUUUCCCCACUUUUAGUUUAUGAUCCCAGUUAGAGUUUAUCUUCUACUGUAGCUCUCAGUUUUAACUAAAGCAAAUCUUAGGACUGAUGCCUUCAUAAAUUCCGGAGUAGAAAAAUGGAAGAAUUGCUGCAUCUGAAUCCUCAGAGGCACAUGUACCCAUGCACGUUUCCUGUAUCACUAACCAGGCAGCUGAUCGCUUUAAUAUCCCAAGGAAUAGGAAGCAGUAGUUGGAAAGAGUGCCAUUUUAUAAGAAUUCUCUUUUCACUAUCAGAAUCGGUCUGGCAUAUUACCCCAUGUCCAAAUUAUACUAUUACUUUCAUGUGUGUUAAUCUGUUUGGUAUUAAGAUGGUGAGAGUGUUGUAACCAUGAACAUGUUUUUACCAUACCACUUUCAAUUGGGUCAUCUCAGAUAAUUAUGAAGAUGUUGAAGUUAACCCCACUUUAAGUGAACAACUAUGAAAAUAGCUGUAAGGCAUUAUUAUUCUCAUAUAAAUGCCAACAAACACGAUUGUAUGGGAACAUGAUUUCUUUCUAUUUGACAUUAUCCUAUAAGGAUAUGGCUAUAUUAAUUUCUUUUAAAAUCAGGGCAGUUUUCAAUUAUUAGUUUUCAACAGAACUUUUUUUUUAAACCACAGUAUUUUGCAAUUCCAAUAAACCACAGCAAUUUGAUACUGACAGAUACUGCAUUUCUACAUUAUUGUUCAGCAAUCUUUUUGCAAACUAAACCAAAAAUAAUAUUCAAAACUAUCAACAUGUAAGGCACAAUUAUUAGGGUCUACAUAUUAGGUAAGCCAAUGCUAUUAAAAUUGGAAACACGUGUUUGGCAUAAAGAAUGCUUCUUUGGAAUUCCUUUUUGGAUACACAGUUAUUCUUUUAAAAACUAACUCAGAUUUCUAAAUACCGAGAUUUCACUCUGAAAAGGGAUUGCAUUGUUUUAAACAGUAGCUCCUGGAACAGUAUCUUUCUUAGUAUUUUCGACUUUCGAACAAUUGGAAUUGGGCAAAUGCUUUCAGCUAGGAGCACGUUCCUAAUACUUUUGUAGGUAACAGGAUUCUUCCUUCCUGCUGAGUGACAGACAGACAGUACACUGGACAGGCUGCUCACCCUUUGCUGAAGCUACCAUAACAUCUCCCCCUACCAAGAGAUAUCUUGUGAUCCAUCUAAAAACAAAAAUUCUGUUAAAUGUGAAAUCAGAAAAAAUAAGCAAGUGCUUUCUCAGCUACAGUUUUGAAGUGACGGCUUAAUGCGGUGCAGAACAGACAAGACCGAGGAUACAGAAAAGUAAGGCAUGAAAAAGAGAUUUUGCUAGAAUGAGAUCUGUUUUUGUUCAUAAACAGGAGGCUGAGAAGCUAAAUCCAAGAUUACUGUUCUCUUCAAUUCAGUGGUUUUUAAAAUUGUCCACUCCCUGUGGAUGAAGAAAUCCAAUCAAGAAAAUACACGUAAAUUCUUGUAUAUAUGCAAAUGCUAGCUUCCUGUGGUUUUACACGUUAUGUUGAAAUAUAGACCUUUAAAGUAGGCUACCACCAUCCUUUCUAGCCCAAUACACGGUAUGUUACAUGUUAUAAAGUACUGAUUAAAAAUAUAUCUGUGAGAAGAUUUCUAUAAAUUCCUAAUUGCUGAGCAAAAUGUGACAAAGUUUUAUCUGGAAAAAGCCGGCAGUUUAAUUGUUAUUAAUCAGGGACAAAUAAAUAAGGAAGCUGUCUUCUUACAUUCCUGGUAAUUCUUUCUACUUUCUCAAACAUUGUUAGGUUCUAUGCAUCUUGUGUUAUUCAAGUCAAGAUGGUGUCAUUAAUCAAAUUACAGAAUCUAAUCAAGCAGGUCAGAUUUUAUUUAUUCCAAAGACAGAGUUGGAGACGAGCCAUUGUUAGUGUUGACUGAGAUAACAAGCAAUCACCCGAGUCCAUACAGUCGAUUUCCUUCUUUUAUUCUAUUUUGGAUCCAUGUUCCCAUGGCGCACUGAUCUGGUGUGAGAGCGCUUGCUGCCGAGGUUGAUAGUCCCUGGAGCCUACAUGACUCAAAGAAAACUAAUUCCAGAAAGGUUGUCCUCAGACGGUCGCAUGUGCGCUGUGGCACCCGCUGCAGGCACCUAUCCAGCCGCGCACACAAUGUAUUAAAACUGUCUUUUAAAAAAUCCUUUUCUCCAGACAAGAAAAGACAAAGGGGGAAAAGUCCCUGCAAAAGACUGAAACCGGCCACAAUCCUGAAAUUAAUAAUACAACUAAAACAUUAGCACAAAACCAAACAAACACCGGAGAGAUUUUACGAGAUCAAGUCGGAGUUAGAGAAAGAAGAGGAAGAGGGAAAUCAUCAAAGUCAGGACAAGCUCAAAGGAGUUUAAUAACUGCUAUCAGAUUGCACCUGAGACUUUAGCACCUGGGAUGCAGCUGUUUUGUUUUAAGAUGCUCCUGUUCCCGGUCCAGCCAGCCGUCGACGGUGACCCGAAUGCACAAGUCCAGGCAUCUGCAGAGGCACUGCUAGGUAAUCCAGACCACUUAGGGAGUGAUGGAAGAGCAGGCAAAGUGGAAAUGCGGAGAUUCAACAUAAUACAGCUGAGGUCAAUAGCAGUGAAAAAUUAGCAAUAUCAGAAGUCUUCUUGUACUGAAAUCACACCAACAGCAUUUUGUACAAGUUGUGCAUGUAAGGAAGUUUGCUUUUUAUGUUUAUUAGUAAUAAAUUCUGAGUAGUAGCUUGGA